rnacentral:rRNA from 1 species
GAGGAGCCCGCGGCUGAUUAGCUAGUUGGUGAGGUAAUGGCUCACCAAGGCAACGAUCAGUAUCCGGUCUGAGAGGACGGUCGGACACACUGGAACUGAGACACGGUCCAGACUCCUACGGGAGGCAGCAGUGGGGAAUUUUUGGCAAUGGGGGCAACCCUGACCAAGCAACGCCGCGUGGGUGAUGAAGUCUCUUGGGACGUAAAACCCUUUCGACGGGGACGAAACCGCAAGGUUGACGGUACCCGUAGAAGAAGCCCCGGCUAACUCCGUGCCAGCAGCCGCGGUAAUACGGGGGGGGCAAGCGUUGUUCGGAAUUACUGGGCGUAAAGGGCGCGUAGGCGGUGCUCUAAGUCGGAUGUGAAAACUCUGGGCUCAACCCAGAGCCUGCAUCCGAAACUGGAGUGCUAGAGUUCUGGAGGGGGUAGCGGAAUUCCUGGUGUAGCGGUGAAAUGCGUAGAUAUCAGGAGG